CCCCGUGAACCUUUACUACAGCUUCGCAGUGGCGCCAGGAAUGUCUUGUGUAGGAUAGGUGGGAGGCGUGGAAGCGGCGACGCCAGUCGUCGUGGAGCCAGCCUUGAAAUACCACCCUUGACCUUCUUGGCGUCUAACCGCGGCCCGUGAACCCGGGCCCGGGACCCUGCGUGGCGGGUAGUUUGACUGGGGCGGUCGCCUCCUAAAGCGUAACGGAGGCGCGCGAAGGUUGGCUCAGAGCGGU
rnacentral:rRNA from 9 species